UACGAAGGGGGCUAGCGUUGCUCGGAAUCGACUGGGGCGUAAAGCGCACGUAGGCGGCUUCUUAAGUUCAGGGGUGAAAUCCUGGAGCUCAACUCCAGUAACUGCCUUUGAUACUGAGAAGCUUGAGUUCGGGAGAGGUGAGUGGAACUUGCGAGUGUAGAGGUGAAAAUUCGUAGAUAUUCGCAAGAACACCAGUGGCGAAGGCG
rnacentral:rRNA from 1 species